CCAGAUGUGGAGCUCAUGGGCUGGCGUGGUUACACAAAGUCUGCGGUUGUCAGGCCGGUUGGAUGUUCUGAUAAGUUCUCAAAAAUGAAGUUGGAGGUGUUGUAAUGGUAGAGAAAUUAACGUCCAAUUCUCUGGCAACAGUUAUGUUGGACAUUCCUGCUCUGCAUGCCAAUUGCACACUCCCUCAACUUGAGAUCUGUGACAUUGUGUUGUGUGACAAAACUGUACAUUUUAGAGUGUUCUUUUGCCCCCAGCACUAGGUCCACCUGUGUAACGAUGAUGCUGUUCAAUCAGCUUCUUGAUAUGCCACACCUGUCAGGUGGAUGGAUUAUCUUGGCAAAGGAGAAAUGCUCACUAACAGGGAUGGAAACAAACAUGUUUGAGAAAUAAGCUUGUUGUGUGUAUCAAACAUUUUUGGGAUCUUUUAUUUCAGGUCAUGAAACACGUGACCAACACUUUACAUGUUGAGUUUAUAUUUUUGUUCAGUAGUAGAUAUCUUGAAGUAAACACACACACCGGUCCUGCUCUCCUUUUCUCAGGUGUUUGUUUCUCUCUCACACCCCACCCCUCUCUCUUCCCCUCUGUGACCCUCACAGCUGUGUGGCACCACGCUUGGUGAACUCCAGUCUGUCACCUGGGUGUUUCAGGGUCCCAGUUUAGCAUCUCUGAUGAUUCAGAUAGACAGUUAAAGCAGUUAAGUAGCUCAGGGACUGUAGGGGCUGUUCCUAUACACUUUCAUGGUCUAAUUCUCACUACCUUGUUUCAGCUGAGGAGAAACUGCUUUUUUUGCAUAAGCCAGCUGGUGGCUGGUAACCACACAAUGUUUCAACCACGUGAAGAUGAUUUUAAUUUGAUUUGACUAAAUGGUGAGAAGGAUCAAACAAUGAGACAAUUUAAUCACAAUUUAAUUUAUAUUAUAGACCUUGUUCACAGCAGUAGUACUUCAAUUAUUUAAUAUUGUCAGUCAUUCACUGCCACUCAUCACAUAUCAUGGUUUGUGUUGGUAAUAUAUAUAACAAACUUUUCAAGAAUUGCAUAAAACAAUGAGUUCUUAACUAAAAUAACAAAUUGCUCUUUGUGGUUUCUUAUAGCUGUUCCGGGCACCUCCCCCUAAAUACUUUAGUGUAUCUUGCUUACUGAACUUGUUUAUAGGGGAGAGAGUUUAAGAAUGUGUUUUUAUCAGGCAUAUCUAUUAAAAUGAGCAUUGGGCACAGUAGUUCAAAGCUACCCAAGCAUGACUUCUACCCAGGAUGCACCUGCACUCUGGUAAAGGCAUUUCCCUGAUAUUGCAUCUUGAUUAACCCUUAAAAGGACCAAUAUAUCAUUGUGAAAGUGCAGUAACACGUUUCAAAACAACACACAACAGUGAUGUACUGCAGAUGUGGGAGAAAAUGUCAAAUUAUGAUUUGAAAAAGUCAUUGAGUGAAGUUUAGCCAUGUAUUGGUUUGACAGUUGCUGAUCAUUGGACAUUGAAACAACAGGAACACAUUUCAGGGUACAGUACUUCAGGAUCUGAAUUGUUCAUUUUUUUAAAUGAACUUGUUUUGUGUGUUGUUUAAAGAAAUACAUUUGUAUGGUGUUUUCUGACUUUAUUGAACAGAGAGAGAGAGAGGAUGACAGUUAUGAAAGAUAGAGGUUGUGCCAAAGGGCAGUAGGCCAGAAUCAAAACUAUGCCUAAAACGUAUGAGACAACAUACCACAAUUUCUUAUUGUUGUGAGAAAUAUCAAAAUGUAAUAUGAUUUAAUAUCAAUUAUUUAAUUAAUCUUCUUAAUACAUGAAGAAAGGUUUGAAUGAGAGACGUGAAAAAACAGUUGUGGCUGGAGCAGCAACUUACUUUACUGUAUAAACAUUACAGAAAAUGUUUGCUGAUUGACAGUGAUCAUUGAUGUCUGGCUUUGUCUUAGAAUUGAUUUCCUUGAAACCCCUUUUAAAUGCAUGUGACAGGCAAUCACCCAACCAUGGUUGUCAUGUUAGUUCUGUCUCCCAAGUCCUUCUGUGAUGUUUCCUACCAUGUGUGAAUUGUCUUCCAUCCUGAAUUGCCUUGAAAGCCUGUCACAUGCAAAAAAAGGGUUAUCACCCAACCAUGAUUGUCAUGUAAGUUCUGUCUCUCAAGUCCUUCUGUGAUGUUUCCUACCAUGUGUGAAUUGUCUUCCAUCCUGAAAAGAUGACAGGCAAACUACACCUCCUCCUGGUCUUGCUGGGCCUCUGCAGUAUGUACUCAAUAAUCUAGCAAUUCAUUGGAACAAGGUAUUUUACAUAUAGAUAAUUAUAACAUCCAUUGAGUAAACAUAUUAGUGAUCUAUUGUCUUCAUUCUCUUUUCUCUAUUAGGGAUAUAUGGUCAGAGUCUGGAGGCCAUUCCCUCCAGUCCAGGCCUGAAAAAGCCUGCAGAAACUCUGUCUCUCCUGUAAGGGAUCUGGCUUUACCUUUAGUAGCUACAACAUGGCCUGGAUACGUCAACCUGCAGGAAGAGCACUUGAAUAGAUAGGCAUUAAUGCUAGUGAAACUACGUAUGCAAAAAGAGUUGAAGGACAGAUAUAAGUCACCAUAGAUAAUUCUAACAGCAUGGUGUAUCUGAAGCUGUCUGUUCUGAGAGCAGAGGACUCUGCUGUGUAUUACUGUGCACAAGAGACACAGUGGUGUGAGUGGAGGAUCUGUACAAAAAGCCCUCAGAGAAUCUAACUGGCAGCAGAGUCAACAGAGGGCAGUAGAGCGUCAGUACAGCAGAGUCAACAGAGGGCAGUAGAGCAUCAGUACAACAUAGUCAACAGAGGGCAGAAGAGCAUUAGUACAGCAGAGUCAAAAGAGGGCAGUAGCGCAUCAGUACAGAAGAGUCAACAGAGGGCAGUAGAGCAUCAGUACAACAGAGUCAACAGAGGGCAGUAGAGCAUCAGUACAACAGAGUCAACAGAGGGCAGUAGAGCAUCAGAACAACAGAGUAACAUCUACUGAAGCAUAAUAUUCCCCUAAGAGCCAAAACAACAGAACUACUUGUACAUGUAAAUCCAGAUCCCUCAGAGUUCAUAUAUACUUAUGUUCUGCUGCUGACUUGUUGUCUUGUGUGGAGCAGCUGAGUUCAUAUUUCAACCUUCAGGAUGAUGGGAAAACACUACCUUCUGCUUCUCUCUCUCUGUCUGCCCUGUGAGUUCUGCUUGGUUUUACUCCUUAUCAACUGUUCUUAUGCUGAGCAAAGACUGAAGACAAUUUUUCAUUGUUUUCACUCAAUAUUCCACCCUCUCUCCUUUCUCCUCUCCCCCUGUUUCCUCUCUCUCCUUCUCUCCUUCAGGUUUAAAUGGUCAAACUAUGGAAUCCAUUCCCUCCAGUCCACUCUAGAAAAAGCCAGGAGAAACUCUCAACCUCUCUUUCAGAGGAACUGGGUACACCUUUACAAGCUCUGGUAUGAACUGUAUUCACCAACCUACAGGAAACCACUGGAAUGGAUGGGCUGGAUCAACACCAAUACUGGAGCAGCAGGCUAUGCCAAAACCCUGGAGGGACGGAUUGAACUGACCAAAGACAGCUCAGCCAAAGGGAAUCGAGGAGGUGCGGCGAGGAGAAGGAACAUGGACGGAAAUGUGCUUGUAUGAAAUGAGACUCUCUCCGCAGGCACAAAAUCUGCUCCAAAUCUCUGUGAAUCACCCACCACCAAAGGACCAAGCAGCGUGGUAACGGGCAGCAGCAGUGAUCUCCAGACUCCUGGACAUGGGAGGAGUUCCUGGAUGGCAAGGGACCCUGGGUACAGCCAGGAGAGUAUUGUCGCCCCAAGGCAGAGCUGGAGGCAGCGAAAGCCGAGAGGCGGUGGUAUGAGGAGGCAGUGCGGUUGGAAGCCCGAGAGGCAGGCCCAAAAAUGUAUUGGGGCGGGCACACGGGGAGUGUGGCGAAGUCAGGUAGGAGACCUGCGCCAACUCCCCGUGCUUACCGUGGAGAGAGAGGGACCGGCCGCCCGUCUGUCAGGAGCUGCCAGAGCCGCCCGUCUGUCAGGAGCUGCCAGAGCCGCCCGUCAGUCAGGAGCUGCUAGAGCCAUACGUCUGUCAGGAGCUGCCAGAGCCGCCCGUCUGUCAGGAGCUGCCAGAGCCGCCCGUCAGUCAGGAGCUGCUAGAGCCAUACGUCUGUCAGGAGCUGCCAGAGCCGCCCGUCUGUCAGGAGCUGCCAGAGCCGCCCGUCAGUCAGGAGCUGCCGGAACCGCCCGUCACUACGGCGCUGCCGGAGUCGCCCUUCACUACGGCGCUGCUGCAGUCUCCCGCCUGUCCGGCGCUGCCGGAGUCUGCCAACUAUUUGGGGCCCUCUGCAAGGGUCCCCAGUCCGAGGUCGGCUGCGAGGGUCGCCGCUCCGCACAAAAGGGGUGGGAAAUGGACAAAUGGGACCCAGAACUUACCAGGUUCAAGUGAGCCAGAAGUCUUUCUGAUUGAGAGGGGGUCAAAUACUUAUUUCCCUCAUGAUAACGCAAAUCAAUUUAUACAAUUUUUGACAUGCGUUUUUAUGGAUUUUUUUGUUGAUAUUCUGUCUCUCAAUGUUCAAAUAAACCUACCAUUAAAAUUACAGACGGAUCAUUUCUUUGUCAGUGGGCAAAUGUACAAAAUCAGCAGGGGAUCAAAUACUUUUUUCCCUCACUGUAUGUUUAAGAAACUCUAGUGUUGAGAG